rnacentral:siRNA from 1 species
UAACAUUUUUCGAGGUUAAC